UAAUAAGCUAACUAUCUACUGUACGUCCAUUCGAUCCUAACUAACUCGUCCGUCUGUACUGUACGUCAUUAGAUGGUUCAGGGGCAUUUUCGUCGAAUUUGGCUGAAUGACUUAAUGGUGGAAGACUCCAUCCACUUUGCCAAAUCCUGCAGUAAAAACAUGGUCAACGGCUACUGUGUAUAAUUUACCCUUUAUUAAAUAGGGUUUCAAACAAAUAAAUAGGUACCCAAUUAAGCCUUUUUUUUAUAUAUAUUAGUUAUCCUUAAUAA
rnacentral:sRNA from 1 species